UGGCGGCGUGCUUAACACAUGCAAGUCGAGCGGUAAGGCCCUUUCGGGGGUACACGAGCGGCGAACGGGUGAGUAACACGUGGGUGACCUGCCCUCAGCUCUGGGAUAAGCCUGGGAAACUGGGUCUAAUACCGGAUAUGACUACCUAUCGCAUGGUGGGUGGUGGAAAGUUUUUCGGCUGGGGAUGGGCCCGCGGCCUAUCAGCUUGUUGGUGGGGUGAUGGCCUACCAAGGCGACGACGGGUAGCCGGCCUGAGAGGGCGACCGGCCACACUGGGACUGAGACACGGCCCAGACUCCUACGGGAGGCAGCAGUGGGGAAUAUUGCGCAAUGGGCGGAAGCCUGACGCAGCAACGCCGCGUGGGGGAUGACGGCCUUCGGGUUGUAAACCUCUUUCGAUCCCGACGAAGCGUAAGUGACGGUAGGGGUAGAAGAAGCACCGGCCAACUACGUGCCAGCAGCCGCGGUAAUACGUAGGGUGCGAGCGUUGUCCGGAAUUAUUGGGCGUAAAGAGCUCGUAGGCGGUGUGUCACGUCGGUCGUGAAAACCUCAGGCUUAACUUGGGGCUUGCGGUCGAUACGGGCAUCACUUGAGUUCGGCAGGGGAGACUGGAAUUCCUGGUGUAGCGGUGAAAUGCGCAGAUAUCAGGAGGAACACCGGUGGCGAAGGCGGGUCUCUGGGCCGAUACUGACGCUGAGGAGCGAAAGCGUGGGGAGCGAACAGGAUUAGAUACCCUGGUAGUCCACGCCGUAAACGGUGGGCACUAGGUGUGGGGGCCAUUCCACGGUCUCUGUGCCGCAGCUAACGCAUUAAGUGCCCCGCCUGGGGAGUACGGCCGCAAGGCUAAAACUCAAAGAAAUUGACGGGGGCCCGCACAAGCGGCGGAGCAUGUGGAUUAAUUCGAUGCAACGCGAAGAACCUUACCUGGGUUUGACAUGCACCAGACAGCCUGAGAGAUCAGGUUUCCCUUGUGGUUGGUGUGCAGGUGGUGCAUGGCUGUCGUCAGCUCGUGUCGUGAGAUGUUGGGUUAAGUCCCGCAACGAGCGCAACCCUCGUUCUAUGUUGCCAGCGCGUUAUGGCGGGGACUCAUAGGAGACUGCCGGGGUCAACUCGGAGGAAGGUGGGGAUGACGUCAAGUCAUCAUGCCCCUUAAGUCCAGG
rnacentral:rRNA from 1 species